GACGAACGCUGGCGGCGUGCUUAACACAUGCAAGUCGAACGGAAAGGCCCUGCUUUUGUGGGGUGCUCGAGUGGCGAACGGGUGAGUAACACGUGAGUAACCUGCCCUUGACUUUGGGAUAACUUCAGGAAACUGGGGCUAAUACCGGAUAGGAGCUCCUGCUGCAUGGUGGGGGUUGGAAAGGUUCGGCGGUUGGGGAUGGACUCGCGGCUCAUCAGCUUGUUGGUGGGGUAGUGGCUUACCAAGGCUUUGACGGGUAGCCGGCCUGAGAGGGUGACCGGCCACAUUGGGACUGAGAUACGGCCCAGACUCCUACGGGAGGCAGCAGCGGGGAAUAUUGCACAAUGGGCGGAAGCCUGAUGCAGCAACGCCGCGUGCGGGAUGACGGCCUUCGGGUUGUAAACCGCUUUCGCCUGUGACGAAGCGUGAGUGACGGUAAUGGGUAAAGAAGCACCGGCUAACUACGUG
rnacentral:rRNA from 1 species